UUAAUAUGUAUAAUUUGUUUUCUACGAAAUUGGAAAGCCAAACCUCUAGUGAAAGAAAUGAUGGACACAUAUGUCAAGACCAACAAGAAUCUACCACUUGCUUCCUAGCAAACUAUAUGAUAUUAAUUGCAUGAUAAGACUAGAAACUAUUAGAGGCUCUUCUCUCUCUGACUCAUCUCUCUCUCAACUCUCUCUAAAAGUCUCUUAACUCAAGUUUUUGUUUCGGCUCCGACGACCCGAGGUGACGCACGUGGUCGCUGGCGUUAUCCUACUCUUACUUUCCUCUUUUGAUAUGCUACGUUUCUCUUUUUUCCUGCUCGCCGUAAAGAUGGUUGAAUCUGUAGAUUGAACUCCGUUAUGGGUUUCUCUAGUUUAACUCCGGGAUGGACUAUAUCCGUGUUUGGAAUCUUCCUUUCUGGAGAUACAAUGGGGCAGUGGUAGUCGUAGGUGUGUGGAGUUGAAUUUUUAGAGUUUCGUCCGGUGAAAUCUGAUUUUCCCUUUUCGCUCUUGCUUGUUGAGACGACGGCGCAUGGUGGUUAUGUGGCUUCCUUGGCGUCUUGGCGAGUCAUCCCUCUCCUCUGAAGCAACUAGGAGUGCUCUGGAGGUUCCCUUUCUCCUCGGGCAUGCGCCAGUCAGCGGUUUAACUACUGUGGGGUGGUGCUUCUGGCGUAAGCGUGUGGAACGUGGCGGAGAUAUGGUUGACGUGGUCGUCUAUGGCCUUUAAGCAGUAGCUUUGGUGACUUCCCUCUCUCUCGAUGUAUCUCUCUGCCAGCUCUUUUCCAGAUCCUUUUUUGAAGUUGUAUGCUUCAAAGGAUGUUUGUUCAUAUUCUUAAAGGUGGUUGUUCUAUUAGUCACCGGCUCAACUUAUGAAUUUUCGAAGAAAUUGUUGUCUGGUUCUCAGACGCGGUGUAAGGCGUGGUUAUGGUUGUAUCGGGUGAUCUUCGAUCGCCAUUUUGUUUCCACUGUGACUGUUUGCAAUGGACUAGCACAUCCCAGUGCUGUUGGAUGCUCAUAGUCUUUGCGGCAGUGUUAGUCGAGUCUAUGAUUAGUGGUUCUGGUUUGUAGUGUUUGUCCAUAAUUAGUUUAGUUCGAGUUUUUGUUUCUGUUUAGGAUUUUAUUUUUUUCUCUACUUCUGGUUAUCCACUGUCAUCUGUGAAAAAAUCUAAAAUUUGGUAAUAAUAUCUUUACAUU